AGCGAACGCUGGCGGCAGGCUUAACACAUGCAAGUCGAACGGGCUUCUUCGGAAGUCAGUGGCAGACGGGUGAGUAACACGUGGGAACGUGCCCUUCGGUUCGGAAUAACUCAGGGAAACUUGAGCUAUUACCGGAUACGCCCUUAUGGGGAAAGGUUUACUGCCGAAGGAUCGGCCCGCGUCUGAUUAGCUUGUUGGUGGGGUAACGGCCUACCAAGGCGACGAUCAGUAGCUGGUCUGAGAGGAUGAUCAGCCACACUGGGACUGAGACACGGCCCAGACUCCUACGGGAGGCAGCAGUGGGGAAUAUUGGACAAUGGGCGCAAGCCUGAUCCAGCCAUGCCGCGUGAGUGAUGAAGGCCUUAGGGUUGUAAAGCUCUUUUGUCCGGGACGAUAAUGACGGUACCGGAAGAAUAAGCCCCGGCUAACUUCGUG
rnacentral:rRNA from 1 species